CUAAUACAUGCGAAGUCGAGCGAACAGAUGAAGUGCUUGCACUUCUGACGUUAGCGGCGAACGGGUGAGUAACACGUAAGGAAUCUACCUAUAAGCGGGGGAUAACAUUCGGAAACGGGUGCUAAUACCGCAUAAUAUCUUCUUCCGCAUGGAAGAAGAUUGAAAGACGGCUCUGCUGUCACUUAUAGAUGACCUUGCGGUGCAUUAGUUAGUUGGUGGGGUAACGGCCUACCAAGACGAUGAUGCAUAGCCGACCUGAGAGGGUGAUCGGCCACAUUGGGACUGAGACACGGCCCAAACUCCUACGGGAGGCAGCAGUAGGGAAUCUUCCGCAAUGGGCGAAAGCCUGACGGAGCAAUGCCGCGUGAGUGAAGAAGGCCUUCGGGUCGUAAAACUCUGUUAUAAGAGAAGAACAAAUUGUAGAGUAACUGCUACAGUCUUGACGGUAUCUUAUCAGAAAGCCACGGCUAACUACGUGCCAGCAGCCGGGGGUAAUACAUA
rnacentral:rRNA from 1 species